UGGGGAAUAUUGGACAAUGGACCAAAAGUCUGAUCCAGCAAUUCUGUGUGCACGAUGACGGUCUUAGGAUUGUAAAGUGCUUUCAAUCGGGAAAAAGAAAGUGAUGGUACCGAUAGAAGAAGCGACGGCUAAAUACGUGCCAGCAGCCGCGGUAAUACGUAUGUCGCAAGCGUUAUCCGGAUUUAUUGGGCGUAAAGCGCGUCUAGGCGGUCUGGUAAGUCUGAUGUGGAAAUGCGGGGCUCAACUCCGUAUUGCGUUGGAAACUGCCAGACUAGAGUACUGGAGAGGUGGGCGGAACUACAAGUGUAGAGGUGAAAUUCGUAGAUAUUUGUAGGAAUGCCGAUAGAGAAGUCAGCUCACUGGACAGAUACUGACGCUGAAGCGCGAAAGCAUGGGGAGCAAACAG
rnacentral:rRNA from 1 species